UGCCCCGUGGCUGAGUUGGUUACAGCGGUUGACUGUUAUGUUUGCAUAAUUAUCAGACGGUCGAGAGUUCGAGUCUCUCCGGGGCAG
rfam:Cryptococcus depauperatus CBS 7841 supercont1.19, whole genome shotgun sequence.